rnacentral:lncRNA from 1 species
GGUUUUGGGACAACAUUCUUUGAAAUCAUUGUGUUUAAAAUCAACCGCAUCUCACGAU